rnacentral:sRNA from 1 species
UCGGAGACUACCAGAACCUUCUCCGGCGG